AUGGCAAAUGUUGGUGCAUAUUCAGAUGUGCUUGCCGUUCAUAUGGUUGGGGGUUUAGUUGUUGGAGCUGUAUCUGAACACUUAGGAGGGAUUUGCGCGGUGGAGACAGCUAUCCAUUUGUGCGGUCAUUGGAUUAGUAAACAGAGAGGGGGGAGGGAGGGAGCAAUGGACAAGAAGGCAACAAAGAUGAAGAUGCUCUCGUCGGCAGCGGCUUUCGUGGAGGGUGGCGUGCAGGACACCUUCGACGACGCCUGCAACAUCUGCCUUGAGGCCUUCUGCGACAGCGAGCCCUCCGGUAGCGACCUCUCUCUUGCGGAUGUUAGCUGCAAGCAUGAUUUCUAUCUCCAGUGCAUCCUUGAGUGA
rnacentral:rRNA from 1 species